rnacentral:rRNA from 1 species
GAGUUUGAUCAUGGCUCAGGAUGAACGCUAGCGGCAGGCUUAACACAUGCAAGUCGAGGGGUAACAGGGAAGCUUGCUUCCGCUGACGACCGGCGCACGGGUGCGUAACGCGUAUGCAACCUACCUCAUACUGGAGAAUAGCCCUUGGAAACGAGGAUUAAUGCUCCAUAGUAUCACAGAUUCGCAUGUUUUUGUGAUUAAAGAAUUUCGGUAUGAGAUGGGCAUGCGUCCCAUUAGCUUGUUGGUGAGGUAACGGCUCACCAAGGCAACGAUGGGUAGGGGGCCUGAGAGGGUGACCCCCCACACUGGUACUGAGACACGGACCAGACUCCUACGGGAGGCAGCAGUGAGGAAUAUUGGGCAAUGGAGGCAACUCUGACCCAGCCAUGCCGCGUGAAGGAUGACGGCCCUAUGGGUUGUAAACUUCUUUUAUAGAGGAAGAAACUUGUCUACGUGUAGACAACUGACGGUACUCUACGAAUAAGGAUCGGCUAACUCCGUGCCAGCAGCCGCGGUAAUACGGAGGAUCCAAGCGUUAUCCGGAUUCAUUGGGUUUAAAGGGUCCGUAGGCGGGUCUUUAAGUCAGUGGUGAAAGCCGACAGCUCAACUGUCGAACUGCCAUUGAUACUGGAGACCUUGAGUACAAAUGAAGUAGGCGGAAUGAGUCAUGUAGCGGUGAAAUGCAUAGAUAUGACUCAGAACACCGAUUGCGAAGGCAGCUUACUAACAUGUAACUGACGCUGAGGGACGAAAGCGUGGGGAGCGAACAGGAUUAGAUACCCUGGUAGUCCACGCCGUAAACGACCAUCACUCGCUGUUGGCGAUAUACUGUCAGCGGCCAAGCGAAAGUAUUAAGUGAUGCACCUGGGGAGUACGCCGGCAACGGUGAAACUCAAAGGAAUUGACGGGGGCCCGCACAAGCGGUGGAGCAUGUGGUUUAAUUCGAUGAUACGCGAGGAACCUUACCAGGGCUUAAAUGUAGUAUGACCGGCUUGGAGACAGGCCUUCUCUUCGGAGCAAAUUACAAGGUGCUGCAUGGUUGUCGUCAGCUCGUGCCGUGAGGUGUUAGGUUAAGUCCUGCAACGAGCGCAACCCCUAUUCUUAGUUGCCAGCGGUUCGGCCGGGGACUCUAAGAAGACUGCCAGCGCAAGCUGUGAGGAAGGUGGGGAUGACGUCAAAUCAUCACGGCCCUUACGUCCUGGGCUACACACGUGCUACAAUGGUAGAGACAGAGGGCAGCCACCUGGUGACAGGGAGCGAAUCCUUAAACUCUAUCUCAGUUCGGAUCGAAGUCUGCAACUCGACUUCGUGAAGCUGGAAUCGCUAGUAAUCGCGCAUCAGCCAUGGCGCGGUGAAUACGUUCCCGGGCCUUGUACACACCGCCCGUCAAGCCAUGGAAGCUGGGGGCACCUGAAGUCGGUAACCGUAAGGAGCCGCCUAGGGUGAAACUGGUAACUAGGGCUAAGUCGUAACAAGGUAACC